rnacentral:rRNA from 1 species
CCUACGGGAGGCAGCAGUGGGGAAUAUUGCACAAUGGGGGCAACCCUGAUGCAGCGACGCCGCGUGAGUGAAGAAGGAUUUCGGUAUGUAAAGCUCUAUCAGCAGGGAAGAAAAUGACGGUACCUGCUUAAGAAACCCCGCCUAACUACGUGCCAGCAGCCGCGGUAAUACGUAGGGGGCAAGCGUUAUCCGGAUUUACUGGGUGUAAAGGGAGCGUAGACGGGAGCACAAGUCUGGAGUGAAAUGCCGGGGCUUAACCCCGGAAUUGCAUUUGAAACUGUGCAGCUUGAGUGCAGGAGAGGUAAGUGGAAUUCCUUGUGUAGCGGUGAAAUGCGUAGAUAUUAGGAGGAACACCAGUGGCGAAGGCGGUUUACUGGACUGCAACUGACGGUGAGGCGCGAAAGCGUGGGGAGCAAACAGGAUUAGAUACCCCAGUAGUC